rnacentral:lncRNA from 1 species
AUGAACAAGCAAAUGUGUUUAACAGGAUUAAAAUUAAAAGUAUGCACUGAACAAUCCAUGUCAAAUCUACUGUAACAGUUUCUCAUUUUAAUGUAAGUGUUGUGGACUAAACAGAAUUUAGGCAGCCCUUUAAAAUUCUUUUCUACAUUUU